UGUUGUCCUUCCUAGCACUGCAGCUUGCGGAUGCUGCGAGUAAUCCUCUUGAACUCCCGCUGUCCCUUCUGCCAGCGCUUCAGAGAUGUGAUGACCAGAUCUCCAUCCAUCUUCUGGCCCAUGACCAGAAAAAUGGAACAAGAUCAAGAAUCAGCAGAGGCAUUUGACACCCCCAAGCAGGGGCGUGUCCAGAUCUUUUUGACCGGGUGGCCCAACUGAGGCUCUCACAUAGGAAACCAUGAAUCAGGGGGAACAUCGUGAGCUCACCCUUGACCAGAUCUAAUAAGUAAUGAUCAACAGCAGAUGAAUACGCAUCCUUGAGGAGAUCUUUACAGCUUAAUUUGACAGAGCCUUUUUGAGUAUACUCUGUCCACCCGGUAUGAUUUGUUCAAGUUACUCUGAUAUCCAUGAAAUCCAGGACUGAUAAUUAACUUUGUGAAAUGGGUAAGUCGUGGGUCCUGUUCAGUCAGGACCCCCAUAGGCUCCAGUAUGUGUCAACCUGUGUAGUGAUUUGAUUAACUGGAGAUGUUUGGGAAAUAUGUACUAGCUGACUUUGUAGGGCCUUUGAGAUGGAUCCUGUCCUGAAACCUGCCUCCAAACCUGUUAGUUUAAGCUUAUAAUAGUACUC